rnacentral:rRNA from 1 species
AUUGCCCCAGUAACGGCGAGUGAAGCGGCAACAGCUCAAAUUUGAAAUCUGGCUCUCGGGCCCGAGUUGUAAUUUGUAGAGGAUGCUUUUGGUGAGGUGCCUUCCGAGUUCCCUGGAACGGGACGCCAUAGAGGGUGAGAGCCCCGUCUGGUUGGACGCCGAACCUCUGUAAAGCUCCUUCGACGAGUCGAGUAGUUUGGGAAUGCUGCUCUAAAUGGGAGGUAUAUGUCUUCUAAAGCUAAAUACCGGCCAGAGACCGAUAGCGCACAAGUAGAGUGAUCGAAAGAUGAAAAGAACUUUGAAAAGAGAGUUAAACAGUACGUGAAAUUGUUGAAAGGGAAGCGCUUGUGACCAGACUUGGGCUUGGUUGAUCAUCCGGGGUUCUCCCCGGUGCACUCUUCCGGCCCAGGCCAGCAUCAGUUCGCCCUGGGGGAUAAAGGCAUCGGGAACGUGGCUCUCUCCGGGGAGUGUUAU